UGUCAGUUCAUACAUCGAAUAUGUACCAAACGAAUUUACAGCGUACGCUCCCAGGUCUUCGGUUGCUGCAUUCGCGCUUUUUUUCAGACGCCUCUGGUAGGGUUGCCGCUUUUUUCAAAUUUGUGUAGAUGACAGCUACGACCAGUGAUACGGUAUCGAACGUUGACAGUUCGUAAUAUUUAUAUCGUGAUAGUUUUUGCCAAAAUUUAUUGAUAUUUUCUAUCAAAUAUAAUUCCAUAAAGACUGCAAGUUCAAGGCACACAAGACUAGAAGCAUUUCCCAUACAAAAUAUAGAUGUGUCAGUUCAUACAUCGAAUAUGUACCAAACGAAUUUACAGCGUACGCUCCCAGGUCUUCGGUUGCUGCAUUCGCGCUUUUUUUCAGACGCCUCUGGUAGGGUUGCCGCUUUUUUCAAAUUUGUGUAGAUGACAGCUACGACCAGUGAUACGGUAUCGAACGUUGACAGUUCGUAAUAUUUAUAUCGUGAUAGUUUUUGCCAAAAUUUAUUGAUAUUUUCUAUCAAAUAUAAUUCCAUAAAGACUGCAAGUUCAAGGCACACAAGACUAGAAGCAUUUCCCAUACAAAAUAUAGAUGUGUCAGUACUGCGUUCAGUGUGACUGUAUCCCACUGUAUUGUGUGCGCCACUCUUUGUUUUUUUUUUCCCUCUGAGAGGUUGUGGGGUUGGUGCAUCGCUCUGUGGAAAAGAGGAACUUGCGUACAAAAUACAAAUUGAAACAUUUGCUUUUAAAUAUGAAGUGAUAUAGGUCCUACUAUAAGACGCAGAGAAACCUGUUUUUAAUUGGUGUUUUUAGCAAAUAAGCAAAAGUGAACGUGGAGUGCAACUGCAGUUAUAUAAAAUCGCGUUACUGUAACUGCACUUUUACAGUAAGUUUCCUUUUAUCUUAGUGCCCACCACCGCCAUUGCCUAUGCCUCCCCUCGCCCCGCGAAUCCUAGUUCCUAUAAUUUUGCGUCGUUCGAUUGUUGUUUCUCCGCGUUCCUGCGCGUUGGCUGGCUGCGCGCUGUUGCAGUUUCUCAGCAAACGCACUAGUUGCCUUUCCUCCCCUGUCCCACACUUCUGCACUACGUCAUACUCCGAAUUCACUUUUGUCUCCUAUUUAUAGAGGCAGAGAUAAACUGCACUCUACGAAACGCCAUGGAAUCAGAGAGAAUUAGAGAACAAAAGCGUCCACGCGGGUGGGUGAUCAGAUAGAUGGUGUGUGUGCUCGCCAUAUCAAGGUGGGGCCUAUGGCGUUAUCAGUGCCAAACAACAACCCGUCGUAAAUAAGUGCGAAUUUGGAGAGUGCCAAUCAGGUUGGGAUCAACCGCAACAACAGCUGUUCUUCGGUGUAAUUCUAUUCCACACAUACAUAUGUAUGUAUACAUGAGCAUGUAUGUUUGCUCUGGGAAGCGAUCAAACUUCUAGCUGGCGUGGCUAUGCGGUCUAGUCGUUUGGACAUUUCUCAUGCGGUUUUAGGUAGGGACGACGAUCGCGCUCUCACUUCGAUCGUGUGUUCGAAUCCCUCCCGAGCUUGUUGGCUUCUUCGACGAAAACUCACGUUAAUUAGCCGUUACUCCUUGGGCUACAUUAACUUUUUCUUUUUUUUCUCCCAUUUUGUUGGUUUUUCCAGUUAGGGUUUUCCCAUAUCAUGAUAUUUGCAGUGUGAUAUCAUCGCAUUCAAAUAUAACGUCAAUUGUUUAGUUUCUCUCUAUCUCUCCGUUUCUCUCUGUGUGUGUGUGUGUGUGUGUAUCUGCGCCUCUAACUGGUGACGUAAUUUGAAUCUGCUGCAAUCGCCUUUCUUGUUUUGGUCUUAUAAGAAAUGUGUAUGGCUGCGAAAACCGGUUCCCAAUAGUUUACUUUUGUUUUCGGAACUGCGCCGCACCAAAACAAACCUCCAUCUGCUGCUGCUCCCACCCUAACACCAUUCCAUAUCACAUCAUUGAAAUGUGAGUUCAAGAUGCAGCUGGCUGGCUGGAUAAGUCGGUUGGUUGAAGGCGACCAUCGACCGUGUCUGGCCAUCCAUAUCAAUGCGAAUCGCGGUGUUGUCAACACAAUAAAGGUGUUGAAAGGAUUAAACUCUGUAUUCUUCCCAUGAUUGUGCAGAAGAUUACUUCCAUUUAGGGGUCAACAAAUCACACUUCGAACCGUAUUUUCAACAUUCCUCUGAUAGAGACAAUCAGCAUUGCCCAAAUAUGAGAGUGUGUUUCUUUAUGGGCAGUGUAACCACUGGAAUCAACGGCCUAUAGUGGACAACGGUUAGUAGGACAUAUGUUUUCCUCAGAGGUCGACCAGCACGCUAUCAUUCCGGCUACUGUCUCGUCGGCAAAAGGGUGGUGUUCUUUUUAUUUGUCUAUUCUGAGACCUACGAUAUUUGU